rnacentral:rRNA from 1 species
UACGGGAGGCAGCAGUGAGGAAUAUUGGUCAAUGGGCGCGAGCCUGAACCAGCCAAGUAGCGUGCAGGAUGACGGCCCUAUGGGUUGUAANCUGCUUUUAUGCCGGGGAUAAAAGUCGGCUACGUGUAGCCGUUUGUANNUGNGCGUCAUGAAUAAGGACCGGCUAAUUCCGUGCCAGCAGCCCGCGGUAAU